UCUGUCCCUGGGCUGCUUCUCUCUUUCUCUAACCCUGUGUUCCUCUCUGUUGCUGUGCUUCACUUACUGUCUCUCUCUGACUCUUUGCCUCUGGGGUUUUCCCCUUCCUUGCUAUGUCUCUGUCUCGGUUCCAGAUAAGCCCCUCGGGGGGCCAGGAGCACUGGCUAUUAUCCUGGGGAGCUUGGUGUCCUUAGCAGCCGCUGUGGCCCUCUUCCUAUUCUACCGGCUCCAGCCCAAGAGUCACCCAGAGACGGACAGCGACCUAUCAGACCCACCCACCUCCAACAAGACUUCACCACCCACCAACAGGAACCAUGAGAUGGAGAACCACAUGACAACAAACGAUAUCCAGAUUCUCUACCUAGAUCAUGUAAAACAAGAACAGCCAGAGAUGGAACAGAAACUCCCCCUGCACACCCCCUAUUAUGACCUGGUUGGCCCUGACACCUUGAUUUUCUCCCAAGAACUGGAAGAGAGAGGCAGGCCCCAGGACAACCCCGCACCCACUCAUCCAGAACCUAUAGCACUAUCCUCUUCCUUAAAGCUGCUCCCCAGUCCAGCUUCCUAGAGCUCAAGGCAAGAAAUGAAAAUAAUUGGGGGGGAGUGUAUGUCAGAGAAGGCCCAAAGAACAAGGAAGGCAUAGGGUGGGAGUGUCAUGAAGCAGGUUGGGGAAAAAAAAUACCCAUUUCUUCCUGUGGUUGAAUAUUAUUUGUGUUAUUGUGAUGGUUCUAGAUCAGAGGUUCUUAACCUUUUUUGUGUCAAACCCUUUGGAGUUUGAUGAAGCUUGUGGACCCCUCCUUGGAAUAAUAAUGAUUCGUUGACUAUAUUCAUAAUUGGAAGAUAUGCUACAUUUCAGUUUGCCCUUAGUGAAAAUAAAGAUGUCACAUUUUUUUCCCCCA
rnacentral:lncRNA from 1 species